rnacentral:rRNA from 1 species
UGCGGCGUGCUAAUACAUGCAAGUCGAGCGGACAGAUGGGAGCUUGCUCCCUGAUGUUAGCGGCGGACGGGUGAGUAACACGUGGGUAACCUGCCUGUAAGACUGGGAUAACUCCGGGAAACCGGGGCUAAUACCGGAUGGUUGUUUGAACCGCAUGGUUCAAACAUAAAAGGUGGCUUCGGCUACCACUUACAGAUGGACCCGCGGCGCAUUAGCUAGUUGGUGAGGUAACGGCUCACCAAGGCAACGAUGCGUAGCCGACCUGAGAGGGUGAUCGGCCACACUGGGACUGAGACACGGCCCAGACUCCUACGGGAGGCAGCAGUAGGGAAUCUUCCGCAAUGGACGAAAGUCUGACGGAGCAACGCCGCGUGAGUGAUGAAGGUUUUCGGAUCGUAAAGCUCUGUUGUUAGGGAAGAACAAGUACCGUUCGAAUAGGGCGGUACCUUGACGGUACCUAACCAGAAAGCCACGGCUAACUACGUGCCAGCAGCCGCGGUAAUACGUAGGUGGCAAGCGUUGUCCGGAAUUAUUGGGCGUAAAGGGCUCGCAGGCGGUUUCUUAAGUCUGAUGUGAAAGCCCCCGGCUCAACCGGGGAGGGUCAUUGGAAACUGGGGAACUUGAGUGCAGAAGAGGAGAGUGGAAUUCCACGUGUAGCGGUGAAAUGCGUAUAGAUGUGGAGGAACACCAGUGGCGAAGGCGACUCUCUGGCCUGCAUCUGACCCUGAGGAGCGAUUAUCGAGGGAAAGAUCAGGUUCAGAUACGGUGGUCCUCCACGUCUAUACGAUUAUCGGCGAAACGUAGGGAGGUUUCCCCCCCCCUC